rnacentral:rRNA from 1 species
CCUACGGGUGACAGCAGUGGGGGAUAUUGCACAAUGGGGGGAACCCUGAUGCAGCGACGCCGCGUGUGGGAAGACGGUCCUCUGGAUUGUAAACCACUGUCCCCAGGGACGAAAAUGACGGUACCUGGGGAGGAAGCUCCGGCUAACUACGUGCCAGCAGCCGCGGUAAUACGUAGGGAGCGAGCGGUGUCCGGAAUUGCUGGGUGUAAAGGGAGCGUAGGCGGGGAUGCAAGGUGGCUGUAAAAACUACCGGCUCAACUGGUAGUCGCACUCAAAACUGCAGCUCUUGAGUGAAGUAGAGGCAGGCGGAAUGCCUAGUGUAGCGGUGAAAUGCGUAGAUAUUAGGAGGAACACCAGUGGCGAAGGCAGCCUGCUGGGCUUUUACUGACGCUGAGGCUCGAAAGUGUGGGGAUCAAACAGGAUUAGAUACCCGAGUAGUC